rnacentral:lncRNA from 1 species
UUCUUCCAUUGGUGUCUCGGGCUGAUCAUCUGACUUUGAAAUUACUGGCAUGAGAACGGGUGGGACAAUGCUUGCCUGCUCUUCUUCCAUUGGUGUCUCAGGCUGAUCAUCUGAGGUUGGGAUUACUGGCACGAGAACCGGAUGAAGAAAGUUUGCCUGCUCUUUUUCCAUUGGUGUCUCCGGCUGAUUAUCUGAAUUUGACACUAGUGGCAUGAGAACGGGUGGAACAAUGUUCGCCUGCUUUGCUUCCAUUGGUGUCUCAGGCUGAUCAUCUGAGUUUGAGAUUAAAGGCACGAGAACCGGUGGAACAAUGUUCGCCUGCUCUUCUUCCUUUGCUGUGUCAGGCUUCUCUAGGGACUGAACCCCCACUUUCUCAAUAUUAUUCAGCUCUUUUGCACUGCUAUCAACUUUCUCGAUGUUAU